UUAGGAAUCUUCCACAAUGGGCGAAAGCCUGAUGGAGCGACGCCGCGUGAGGGAUGAAGGCCUUAGGGUUGUAAACCUCUAAAAGAGGGACGAUAAUGACGGUACCUCUUGAAUAGCACCGGCUAACUCCGUGCCAGCAGCCGCGGUAAUACGGAGGGUGCAAGCGUUAUCCGGAAUCACUGGGCGUAAAGGGCGCGUAGGCGGUCUGUUAAGUCCGAUGUUAAAUCCCGGGGCUCAACCCCGGAUAAGCGUUGGAUACUGGCAGGCUAGACGGCUGGAGAGGCGAGUGGAAUUACCAGUGUAGCGGUGGAAUGCGUAGAUACUGGUAGGAACACCCAUUGCGAAGGCAGCUCGCUGGACAACACGUGACGCUGAGGCGCGAAAGUGUGGGGAGCAAACC
rnacentral:rRNA from 1 species